ACAUGUACGUGUUACUGAUCUGAGAGGAGAGGGACCCAUGCUUCGGUAUGGGAGCGUACACAGGUGCUGCAUGGCUGUCGUCAGCUCGUGUCGUGAGAUGUUGGGUUAAGUCCCGCAACGAGCGCAACCCUGCAUCCAGUUGCCAUCGGGCGAGCCGGGCACUCUGGAGGGACUGCCGGCGACAAGCCGGAGGAAGGUGGAGAUGACGUCAAGUCAUCAUGGCCCUUAUGUCCAGGGCGACACACGUGCUACAAUGGCCGGCACAGCGGGAAGCGGAGGGGCGACCCUGAGCGGAUCCCUUGAAAGCCGGUCCCAGUUCGGAUUGCAGUCUGCAACUCGACUGCAUGAAGUUGGAAUCGCUAGUAAUCGCGGAUCAGCCAAGCCGCGGUGAAUACGUUCCCGGGCCUU
rnacentral:rRNA from 1 species